rnacentral:rRNA from 1 species
ACGCUCGACACCUACGGGAGGCAGCAGUUGGGAAUAUUGGACAAUGGAGGAAACUCUGAUCCAGUGACGCCGCGUGAAGGAAGAAGGUCUUCGGAUUGUAAACUUAUUUUGUCAGGGAAGAAAAAAUGACUGUACCUGAAGAAAAAGCACCGGCUAACUACGUGCCAACAGCCGCCGGUAAUACUGAGCGGGCGUGGCGAAGGCG